UGGUGUUUGGAUUGUCUCUGCCGGCUGGCUCCGUGCUGGUCCACCGAACGGUCGGCAUGCAAUCCCUGUCGCUUGUUGGGAGGUGUGGUAUUUGCACCAGAGGCUGGUUCUUGUGCCUCCUACCCAUCAUGGGGAAGCAGGACACUUGAAGCGAAUCCGUCGUGCGCCUCCUGUUGGGCGCAUGAGGACGAUGAGGCGCCCCCGUGUUCCGCCGAAUCCUUGUUGGUCGGGUGGCCCAUGGGGGCGUGCAAUGCUCUCGGACCCAGCGAACAUGGCGGGACGAGGACUCCGGUCUGAGUCCUAAGUGAAAGCUUCUGUACGAUGUGUGACGGCCGUCCCUUCCCCUUGCACGCCUCGGCGUGCCAUGGGCGAUGGGGGCGUCCCUAAGGACCGCUACCUGGUUGAUCCUGCCAGUAGUCAUAUGCUUGUCU
rnacentral:misc_RNA from 1 species